UAAGGAAUAUUGCUCAAUGGGAGAAAUCCUGAAGCAGCAACGCCGCGUGGAGGAUGAAGGGUCUAUGACUUGUAAACUCCUGUAAAGAAGGAAAAAAUUCCCAUUUGAUGGGAGAUGAUGGUACUUCUGGAGUAAGCCCCGGCUAACUACGUGCCAGCAGCCGCGGUAAUACGUAGGGGGCAAGCGUUGUCCGGAUUUACUGGGUGUAAAGGGUGCUCAGGCGGAUUUGUAAGUCAGAGGUGAAAUCUUACAGUUUAACUGUGAAACUGCCUUUGAUACUGCAAGCCUAGAGUAUGGAAGAGAGUGAUGGAAUAGCUGGUGUAGCAGUGAAAUGCGUAGAUAUCAGAUAGAACACCAAUGGCGAAGGCAGUCACUUGGUCCAUUACUGACGCUAAAGCACGAAAGCGUGGGUAGCAAACA
rnacentral:rRNA from 1 species